rnacentral:rRNA from 1 species
GAUGAACGCUGGCGGCGUGCCUAAUACAUGCAAGUCGAGCGAACAGACGAGGAGCUUGCUCCUCUGACGUUAGCGGCGGACGGGUGAGUAACACGUGGAUAACCUACCUAUAAGACUGGGAUAACUUCGGGAAACCGGAGCUAAUACCGGAUAAUAUAUUGAACCGCAUGGUUCAAUAGUGAAAGACGGUUUUGCUGUCACUUAUAGAUGGAUCCGCGCCGCAUUAGCUAGUUGGUAAGGUAACGGCUUACCAAGGCAACGAUGCGUAGCCGACCUGAGAGGGUGAUCGGUCACACUGGAACUGAGACACGGUCAAGACUCCUACGGGAGGCAGCAGUAGGGAAUCUUCCGCAAUGGGCGAAAGCCUGACGGAGCAACGCCGCGUGAGUGAUGAAGGUCUUCGGAUCGUAAAACUCUGUUAUUAGGGAAGAACAAAUGUGUAAGUAACUAUGCACGUCUUGACGGUACCUAAUCAGAAAGCCACGGCUAACUACGUG